UACGGAGGGUGCGAGCGUUAAUCGGAAUUACUGGGCGUAAAGGGCGCGUAGGCGGCCGAUCAAGUCAGAUGUGAAAGCCCACGGCUUAACUGUGGAAGAGCAUUUGAAACUGCAAGACUUGAGUACCAGAGGGGAAGGUGGAAUUCCCGGUGUAGAGGUGAAAUUCGUAGAUAUCGGGAGGAAUACCGGUGGCGAAGGCGACCUUCUGGCUGGAUACUGACGCUGAGGUGCGAAAGCGUGGGGAGCAAACAGGAUUAGAAACCCUAGUAGU
rnacentral:rRNA from 1 species